CCUAUGGGGCCUCCCUAUGGCCCCUCCCUGCCCCCUGCCCCGUUCCCCCCCCAGCCCCCCCUGCUGUCGUCGUUGCCGUUCCGCAGCCUGGAGCAGCUGCGCCAGCGCCCGGCCCAUCUGGCCGCCUUCCUCCUGCACUGCGUGCUGCAGUUCGAGCCCGGCCCCGCGCUGUGUUGGCUGCACGCUCAGCUGCUGCUGCGCCGCCCCCACCCCAAGGAGGGCAGGAAACUCUUCCAGGAAUUCGGGGCGAAGUUCCUGGAGCGCAGCGCGGUGAGAGGAUCGUAGGGACCCAUACUGACCCCAUAGGGACCAUAGGACCACAUAGGGACCCCAUAGGGACCCCAUAGGGACCAUAGGACCACAUAGGGACCCAUUGGGACCCAUGGGGACCCAUACAGACCCCAUAGGGACCAUAGGACCCCAUAGGGACCCAUACAGACCCCAUAGGGACCCAUACAGACCCCAUAGGGACCAUAGGACCCCAUAGGGACCAUAGGACCCCAUAGGGACCCACAGAGACCCAUAGGGACCCAUACAGACCAUAGGAACCCAUACAGACCCCAUAGGGACCCAUACAGACCCCAUAGGGACCCCAUAAGGACCCACAGAGACCCAUAGGACCCAAUAGAACACAUAGAGACCCCAUAGAAACUCUUACAACCCCAUAAGGACCCACAGAGACCCAUAGGGACCCAUAGAUCCCAUAGAGACACAUAGGACCCCAUAGAGAUCCCAUAGAGACCCAUAGAGACCCAUAGAAACCCCAUAGGGCCCCAUAGAGACCCCAUAACACCCCAUAGAGCCCAUACAGACCCCAUAGAGACCCAUAGGGACCCCACACCCCAUAACACCCCACAGAGACCCCACAAGACCCCAUAAGACCCCAUUGGACACCAUAACACCCCAUAAGACCCCAUAAAACCCCAUAAGACCCCACAAGACCCCACAAGACCCCAUAAGACCCCAUAAGACCCCACAGGACCUUCCUUCCCCCCCCCGCCCCCAUUAGGAUCCAUGGGGCCGCAGGGAUUUGGGGCAGAGCUGCAGCCGCUUGUAGGGCCCCAUAGAGACCCCAUAGAGACCCAUAGGACACUGUAAGACCCCAUAGCGACCCCAUAAGAGCCCAUAGAGACCCCAUAGAGACCCAUAGAGAUGCCAUAGAGACCCAUAGAGACCCAUAGGACCCCAUAGGAACCCCAUAAGACCCCAUAGAGACCCCAUAAAACCCCAUAGAGACCCAUAGGAGACCAUAAGGCCCCAUAGGGACCCCAUAGAGACCCAUAGA
rnacentral:lncRNA from 1 species